GACGAGAACUGCAUCUCCCACCU
rnacentral:piRNA from 1 species